GAGACCCGUGGAAGACGAUGCCAUUUAAUGCCCAAGGCCGGAUUGUCCCAAGAAACCAUGAAUAUGUCACUUUAAUCAAAGCAACUGGAAAGGCCACAACGUGAGUCAAGCUUUUCCUUUCUGACAGGUUCUAAGGAGAUUCUUAAGAAGAUUGUCAUGAAACCAGCCGGUGGGGCCUCUUGAUGCAGAGCUGCACGGAAGCUCCAAGCUGGUGCUAGAGCAGGGGGCGCAUCUGGAAGGUUCUGGCUGCAAGCGAGCUGAGCGAGGCGGCGGCAUGCGGUGUCCCCCGCCAGGCCUGCGCGGGACAACACAGAGGUGGUGACGUUCCGUGAGAAAGAGCGGAGUCCGAACUUCCAGGCCUACUAUUAAAGGGAAGGGAAGUCUUUUGCUCUUCUUGCUAGAUGGUGUGGACCAUCUUUGACAUUGUGGCCAAAGAACAACACCCCAGGAAUUCAUGAUCAACAAGAUGGAAGGAGUCUGGGUCCUUAAAACCAAUGCACGAGAGAGACAGCACAAGUAGGGGGAGCGGCAGACAGAGGCAGAGGGAGAAGCAGGCUCCCCACCGAGCAGGCAGGCCAAUAUGGGGCUCCAUCCCAGGACCCCGGGAUCAUGACCUGAGCCGAAGGCAGACGUUAACCAGCUAGCCACCCAGGCACCCCUCGUGUCAUCUCAUUAAGAUGUGAAGAAAGCAGUUUUGCAGAUGGCCAAUAAAUGCAAUCCAGUGAUCACUCUGAUCCAUUUGUUAUAGUUUAUUUUUUUAUUUUUUUAAGAUUUUAUUUAUUUAUUUGAGAGAGAGAAUGAAAGAGACAGAGAGCACAUGAGAGGGGGGAGGGCCAGAGGGAGAAGCAGGCUCCCUGCAGAGCAGGGAGCCCGAUGCGGGACUCGAUCCUGGGACUCCAGGAUCAUGACCUGAGCCGAAGGCAGUCGCUUAACCAACUGAGCCACCCAGGCGCCCUAUAGUUUAUUUUUUAUUCGAAAAACCAAUACAUACACACACAGCAAAUAAAUAAAUAAAUAAAUAAAUAAAUAAAUAAAUAAAUAAAUAAAUAAAUAAAAUAAGUAUGUCUUCUACUCUAAACCCCAAGCCCCCUGGUGAAAGUAUUCUUUGUACUCUUCUGGAAAUAUUCUAUGAAUAUCAUAUUGUAAGAGGAUGUAAAAUGAGUCUCUUCUUGUCUGUGUGGUUAAUUUUAUGUGUCAAAUUGGCUGGGUCGUGGUGCUCAGAUAUUUGGUCAAAUGUUAUUCUGGAUGUUUCUAUGAGGGAGUUUUGGUUGAGAUUUACAUUUAAAUCUGGACUUUUGAGUAAAGCAGAUUGCCCUCCAUAAUCUGAGUGGGCUUCACCCAAUCAGUUGAAGGCCUGAAUAGAUCAAAAUUCAGCAUCUUCAGCCUACCGGCCUACUUUGCAGAUUUGGGACUUACCCGACCCCUGAUACUCAUGUGAGCCAAUUCCAUAUAAUAAACCUCUUUAUCUCUCUCUAUACACUUCCUAUUGCUUCUGUUUCUUUAGACAACCCAGACAAAUGCACUGUUUCGGUGACAGCUGAAGCAAGAAGACAAAGGUACCACCUUCCAAAGUAAGCUGUGACAGAAAUCACUGUGGCCAAGAACGGGUAGACUCACCCACACUGAUAUAACAAGGUUGGCUGGCUGGAGAUUCGAGAUUGUGAGGUGAUGAUUUCUUUGGAAAAGUUGGGCCAGCUGCUACUCCUCUUGCUACAUCUGGUGAACACAGAGAAUGGGGCCAAGAUCCUUCCCAGAAAAUGGCCUGGAAUAAACUGGAUCCAGAGACCACGAGAGACUGAAGUCCACUGCCCUAUUUCAAUAGCCUAGGAAACAUUUCAGGCGAAUGUGACCAGCGGCUCAUCCUGGCCGCAUCCAUCUCCGUCAAGUUCCCAUAGAAGGCCCAGUGUGGAGCAUGCUCUUUCCUGGCGCGAUGGCCCAGACAAACUUGUUUUUUCCAAACAAAGAUAACGAGCUGCAUGAGGCAAUUUACUGAACCAGUCUACAGCUCCUAGACUCUCCAGGCAGGACUAAGUAUAGGUGUUUUGUGUACGUCAUUAACGUCAAGCCAUCCUUACAGUGGAGUUCAGAAUUAAUUCCUGAGGUCAGCAUCGAAAGCCUGAAAGAGGCUCUCAGAGAGACAACCCAAGAGACUCUGCUGAUAAAAUGACUCUGGGCAUGACAAAGAUGGGGAGAUGCUAAAAUGAAUAGCAGCUUUGUUUAUUUGGCAUUGGAACAGGCGAGAGGAGCUAUAUUAAAAAAGUAAAUAAAGUUCCCCUUCUCUCCACAAGAAAAAAAACCUUCUCUGGCCGCAUGGCCAGCCACACGAUUUCCCUCGCAGAACAGAACAAAUGCUUGACCCCAUUUCCUUCCCAUGGUGGAGAGAAGAUAAUAAGAACUGGCUAGAGUGACAUCGUCCAAGCAUGCACCAUGUGCCCAGCUCAGGGCAAGUGGCGUGCGCACAUCACAGAUAGCAUCCUUCUUCCCGCUGACCUAACUUCUCUGAGCUUCCGUGUUCCCACCUGCAAAAUGAAGAUCAUCGCACUGGCCACCUCACAGAGCUGUUGUGACAAUUACGCACGAUACGCACAUAAAGCCCAGGGCCUGGCACCUCCGCGAGGCCUCAGUGAAUGGAAGCUUGGAGGGAGGCUGCGCCGUGCCGGAGCCUCAGUGAGGCAGGCAGCUUCUGCCUGCUGCAGGACAUUGCUUCUCUUGCCUGCUGACAGUAAGAAGGGGCCGCACCUGCACAUUUUGGCUGAGGACGGCCUCCGUGGACACGCAGGCUGUGCUCCCAGUGGACCUGUCUGGAGGCGGCCCUCCUCUUGGCAUGGGCGCCAGGACCAGUGGAAAGAGUGUGCAGCCUUCCCGGCAUGCUGUGUGCAACCUUGGGCAAAUCAUUUUGCCUCCUUGAUCUCUGCUUGCCUCAUCUGAAAAAUGGGCUUCAUGGGAGCACUAUCCACCUUAAAGGACGGCGGGAGCUUGACGAGGCCUCCAUUGUGGAUGUGACUGUCUAAGGCUGGGGGAAAAGUACGGAGCCAGUAAUCAGAGCCAGUAAACUAUAUGGAGCAUUCCCCACCUCAACAGGCGACACAUGCAGCCUCCUCUUUCUGAGGGGCUUCUAAGGGGAUGAUGUCUCUGGUCUUUGUUACAUACAAUACCAAGAUGGGUCAAUAGAUAUCACCAGGAAAACAGAGAAGAGAAAAAAAAAAAAAGGAAAUCUUACGCUUUUCAAUGUCCGGUCAAAAGUAUUCUGCUUUUCAUGGAAGAGUUGUGUGGCGAGUGCACACAAAAGCAGUGUCCUCCGUCUUGGCUUCGGGCCUGGGGUGAGAUCAGCCCACCAGCCAAGAGCAGUUCAUAUGGAAAGGUCAGUGCUGGUCUCCAAGGUACUGACAUGUUUUUUGGGUGGAGCCCCAUGAAAUUCUUUACAAAUCAACUCUCCAAUGAAGUUGGCGCGUCGCCUUAUCAAGGGAAGAGAUGAUUGCACCAGCAUGUUCCCAAGUGUCCCAGGCAGCCUGAAGCAAAGGGCGGAAGGACCUGCUGAUCUUGAUUCAAAUCCUGCUUCCUGCAUUUACCAGUGACUUUGGGCAAAACAGCUCUUAGAACCUCUGCAAAGCUGGGAUCAGAGGAGAUGUUGAAGAGGCUGGUGAUGCUGUCUCUAGCAGAUGCAUCUUCCCUUCACUGCUCAGUUAAUCUUCCCUGGGACACACUCAUUUGUCAAUGGCUUUCUCAAACACCCGGAAUGGAUGUACAGCCCAGAACCCAGAACAAUCUUCUGGCCACAGACUGCAGGACUCUCACUGUAUUCUGGAUAUCAGAUCUCCAUGAACAUGUCCUGGAUUACAUUUUUUAAGCCUUAUUUUACUUUGAAAUAUAACACAUACAGAGAAUUGCAUAGUCCAAAAACAACAGUCCAACAAGCUAUCACAAAGCAAACAUCCACAUCAGCACCAUCCAAGUCAAGAACUAGAACUUUGCUCACUUCUGCCUCCUCCCCAUGAUCACUCCUGCAUCCUCCACAAAGGCAACCUCUACUGUUUUAUGGUAAUAAUGUUCUUGUUUUCCUUAAACAUUUUAUCAUCUAAAUACGUAUCCCAUUUCACGUUAUGGUUUAGUUUCCCUGGGUUCUGAGUUUUCUAUAAAUGGAACCAUUCAACUAGGCAUUCUUUUGUAUGUGACUUAUUUCACUCAAUGAAAUAAGUGUGUGAGAUUGUUACAUAUAGUUGUAGUUCAUUCAUUCUCAUCGCUGGAAGCAACCACUUGUCUGAGUAUACUGUAAUUUAUUUAUCUAAUCUAUUAUUAAUGGGUACGUGGGCUGUGCCCGGGUUUUGGCAAUGAUGAACAAACUGCUAUAAACACUGGUGAGCAGACACAUGCAUUUAGGCUGGCUAUACCUAACAGAACUUCUGUGUAACUUCUCAGUGGAUAACAUCAACCUGUCUUCCAAAGCAGUUUUAAUGAUUCGCACUUCCAGUAGUUGUGUGUGUGUGUUCCAAUUCUUCCAUGUCCUUGCCAAUGCUUAGCACUACUCAUCUUUUUAAUUUUAGAACUUUUGGUGGUUACACAGUGGCAUCUCAUUGAGGUUUUAAUUUGCAUUUCCCUAAUGACUAAUGAGGGUGAGCCCAUUUUCAUCUAUUUUUUGCAUAUUUAUGGAUUAGAGGCUUUGGCAACUCCUUAUCUGACUCAUACUGAAAUUACAGCCAAAUGGAAUAGAGUCUCUGACAGAUGAUGCUGUUUAGUCAUAUCUCCUUUAUUGACUUCAAUUUUGGAUUUUAGGACCCCAGAGCAUGUCUGAACAUUCUUUUUUAAAAAGUAAUUAAUUAAUUAAUUAAUUAUUUAAAGUAAUUUCUACACCCAUUGUGGAAAUCGAACUCAAGACCCUGAGAUCAAGAGUGGUGCGCUCCAUCGUCUGAGCCAGCUGGGCACCCCUGAACAUUCUUAAUACUCAUGACAGCUAAUAUUUAUUGAAUGCCCACCAUGUUCCAGGUGCGGAGCUGUGUGCUUGACCUGCAUCACGUCUUCUAAUCCUCAUAACCAACUUAUGAGGUUGCUACUAUGAUUACCUGCAUUGUCCAUUUGAAGAAACUGAGGUGGGAGAGGCUAUAUAACUUACUUGCUAGAUUCAAAUCAACACCUGUAGCCACUACAACACACUGCCUCCCAAAGAUGGAAACAUUUGACUACAUAAAAAAAAAAAAAAACCACCUUUAAAAAUGCUUAAAAACUGAGUAAGAAAAUGGACAUGUAACUGUCAACUGGAGAAAAAAAGUUGCAAAGUAUGACAAGGGUUUAAUGUGCUUAAUAUGGAAAGAGUUACAAAUUAAUAAAAGGACACAAUAAAAAAAUGGCCAAAGGUUUCUGCAGUUAGCUAAGUCUGUGGAAUUCAGCACAUCUUUCAUGUUCUUUUACCCCAACAGUGUAUCCUAAGCAAAUUUAUGACUCUUAAGUUCCAGUUGGUAGGAAUGCAAGCUGGUGCAGCCACUCUGGAAAACAGUAUGGAGGUUCCUCAAAAAGUUGAAAAUAGAGCUACCCUAUGACCCAGCAGCUGCACUACAAGGUAUUUACCCCAAAGAUACAAAUGUAGUGAUCUGAAGGGGUACCUGCACCCCAAUGUUUAUAGCAGCAAUGUCCACAAUAGCCAAACUAUGGAAAGAGCCCACAUGUCCAUCAACAGAUGAAUGGAUAAAGAAGAUGUGGUAUAUAUAUACAAUGGAAUACUACUCAGCCAUCAGGAAAAAAAUGAAAUCUUGCCAUUUCAAUGAUGUGGAUGGAACCAGAGGGUAUUAUGCUAAGUGAAAUAAGCCAAUCAGAGAAAGGCAAUUAUCAUAUGAUCUCACUCCUAUGUGGAAUUUAAGAAACAGAACAGAGGAUCAUAGGGGAAGGGAGGGAAAAAUAAAACAAGAUGAAAUCAGAGAGGGAGACAAACCAUAAGAGAUUCUUAAUCAUAGGAAACAAACUGAGGGUUGCUGGAGGGGAGGGUGGUGGGUGGAUGGGGUAACUGGCUGAUGGAC